CCUACGGGAGGCAGCAGUGAGGAAUAUUGGUCAAUGGACGAGAGUCUGAACCAGCCAAGUAGCGUGAAGGAUGACUGCCCUAUGGGUUGUAAACUUCUUUUAUAUGGGAAUCAAACGUUCCACGUGUGGGAUUUUGUAUGUACCAUAUGAAUAAGGAUCGGCUAACUCCGUGCCAGCAGCCGCGGUAAUACGGAGGAUCCGAGCGUUAUCCGGAUUUAUUGGGUUUAAAGGGGGCGUAGGUGGAUUGUUAAGUCAGUGGUGAAAGUUUGCGGCUCAACCGUAAAAUUGCAGUUGAAACUGGCAGUCUUGAGUACAGUAGAGGUGGGCGGAAUUCGUGGUGUAGCGGUGAAAUGCUUAGAUAUCACGAAGAACUCCGAUUGCGAAGGCAGUUCACUGGACUGCAACUGACACUGAGGCUCGAAAGUGUGGGUAUCAAACAGGAUUAGAUACCCAGUAGUC
rnacentral:rRNA from 1 species